GUAAGGAAUAUUGGUCAAUGGACGCAAGUCUGAACCAGCUAUGCCGCGUGAAGGAUUAAGGUCCUCUGGAUUGUAAACUUCUUUUAUCUGGGACGAAAAAAGGUCUUUCUAGACCCCUUGACGGUACCAGAUGAAUAAGCACCGGCUAACUCCGUGCCAGCAGCCGCGGUAAUACGGAGGGUGCAAGCGUUAUCCGGAUUCACUGGGUUUAAAGGGUGCGUAGGCGGGUAGGUAAGUCAGUGGUGAAAUCCUGGAGCUCAACUCCAGAACUGCCAUUGAUACUAUCUAUCUUGAAUAUUGUGGAGGUAAGCGGAAUAUGUCAUGUAGCGGUGAAAUGCUUAGAUAUGACAUAGAACACCCAUUGCGAAGGCAGCUUACUACGCAUAUAUUGACGCUGAGGCACGAAAGCGUGGGGAUCAAACAGGAUUAGAAACCCUAGUAGUCC
rnacentral:rRNA from 1 species